GCAUAUCAAUAAGCGGAGGAAAAGAAACCAACAGGGAUUGCCUUAGUAACGGCGAGUGAAGCGGCAAAAGCUCAAUUUGAAAUCGCUUCGGCGAGUUGUAAGUAAAGUGGUUAGACGCUUUUUAAUAAGUCCCUUGGAACAGGGCGCCAUAGAGGGUGAUAGCCCCGUAUUAAAUUGUCUAGUGUGCUACUUUAGAGCGAGUCGAGUUGUUUGGGAAUGCAGCUCAAAUAGGUGGUAAACUCCAUCUAAAGCUAAAUAUUGCUGGGAGACCGAUAGCGAACAAGUACAGUGAUGGAAAGAUGAAAAGCACUUUGAAAAGAGAGUGAAAUAGCGUGUGAAAUUGUUGGAGGGGAAGGCGAUGGUAGGAAUAAGAGGCUGCGGUUUGAAAUAAAUGUUUUUCGGGCCACGGUCUCCUGAGCCUGCUUUCGCACCCGUCUUGAAACACGGACC
rnacentral:rRNA from 1 species